AGAGUUUGAUCCUAGCUCAGGAUGAAUGCUAGCGGCGUGGAUAAGGCAUGCAAGUCGAGUGGGUUUAGACCCACGGCAGACGAGGUAGUAAUACGCAGGUACGCACCGAAGAGUCUGGGAUAUUCCGUCGAAAGACGGCGCAAUACCGGAUGGCGUGGUGACACUAAAGGGGCAACCCGCUCUUUGAGCGGCCUGCGGGACAUCAGCUAGUUGGUAAGGUAAUGGCUUACCAAGGCUACGACGUCUAGGGGAGCUGAGAGGCUGACCCCCACCGAUGGAACUGAGACACGGUCCAUACACCUACGGGUGGCUGCAGUCGAGAAUAUUUGGCAAUGGGCGAAAGCCUGACCAUGCGACGCCGCGUGGUUGACGAAGUCCUUCGGGACGUAAAAAACCUUUUAUGCGUGAAGAAGUAAUUGACAUCAGCGCAUGAAUAAGGGGCUCCUAACUCUGUGCCAGCAGGAGCGGUAAUACAGAGGCCCCAAGCAUUAUCCGGAAUCACUGGGCGUAAAGGGUGUGUAGGCGGUCGUGUUAGUCCUUCGUAAAAGCUCUCAGACUUAAUCUGGGAAAUGCGGUGGAAACGGCACGACUUUUGAGGACGCGAGAGGUAGAGGGAACUCAUGGUGUAGGGGUGAAAUCCGUUGAUAUCAUGGGGAACACCAAAUGCGAAGGCACUCUACUGGCGCGCUCCUGACGCUGAAACACGAAAGCGUGGGAAUCGAACGGGAUUAGAUACCCCGGUAGUCCACGCCCUAAACGAUCCGAACUAGCUUUACGGAGUAUCGACCCUCUGUGAGGCGAAGCUAACGCGUUAAGUUCGGCGCCUGGGUAGUACGAUCGCAGGAUUAAAACUCAAAGGAAUAGACGGGGACUUGCACAAGCGGUGGAUCAUGCGGCUCAAUUCGAUGACAAACGAAGAACCUCACCAGGGUUUGAAACCCAGACGUAAGCCUUAGGAAACUUUGGCCCUCGCAAGACGGCUGGGCAGGUGAUGCAUGGUCGUCGUCAGUUCGUGGCUUGAGUUGUUCCCUUCAGUGGGGUAACGAACGCAACCCUCGUUGCCUGUUUUAUAUGUCAGGCGAGACUGCCCCCUCACGGGGGAGGAAGGUGAGGAUGACGCCAGAUCAGCAUGUCCCUCUGAUAUCCUGGGCUGCACGCAUGAUACUAUGGUCAAGACAACGGGUCGCGACGGGGUAACCCUGAGCUAAUCCUCAUAACUUGGCCCCAGUUCGGAUUGAGGUCUGCAACUCGACCUCAUGAAGCCGGAAUCGCUAGUAAUCGCGGGUCAGCUAUACCGCGGUGAAUACGUUCUCAAGUCUUGUACUCACCGCCCGUCAACUCAAGGGAGCCGGGAGUACCUGAAGCAUCGCGCAAGCGGUGUCACGGUAAAUUCGGUGACAGGGAGUAAGUCGUAACAAGGCA
rnacentral:rRNA from 1 species